rnacentral:rRNA from 1 species
UACGGAGGGUGCAAGCGUUAAUCGGAAUUACUGGGCGUAAAGCGUGCGCAGGCGGUUUGUUAAGUCCGUUGUGAAAGCCCCGAGCUCAACUUGGGAAUUGCAGUGGAUACUGGCAGGCUGGAGUACGGUAGGAGGAAGGUGGAAUUCCCGGUGUAGCAGUGAAAUGCGUAGAUAUCGGGAGGAACACCAGUGGCGAAGGCGGCCUUCUGGACCAGUACUGACGCUCAUGCACGAAAGCGUGGGGAGCAAACAGG